AUUGAACGCUGGCGGAAUGCUUUACACAUGCAAGUCGAACGGCAGCACGGACUUCGGUCUGGUGGCGAGUGGCGAACGGGUGAGUAAUGUAUCGGAACGUGCCCAGUCGUGGGGGAUAACGUAGUGAAAAUUACGCUAAUACCGCAUACGAUCUAUGGAUGAAAGCGGGGGAUCGCAAGACCUCGCGCGAUUGGAGCGGCCGAUAUCAGAUUAGGUAGUUGGUGGGGUAAAGGCCCACCAAGCCAACGAUCUGUAGCUGGUCUGAGGGGACGACCAGCCACACUGGAACUGAGACACGGUCCAGACUCCUACGGGAGGCAGCAGUGGGGAAUUUUGGACAAUGGGCGAAAGCCUGAUCCAGCCAUUCCGCGUGCAGGAUGAAGGCCCUCGGGUUGUAAACUGCUUUUGUACAGAACGAAAAGGUUUCUACUAAUACUAGGAGCUCACGACGGUACUGUAAGGAUAAGCACCGGCUAACUACGUGCCAGCCGCCACCGUAA
rnacentral:rRNA from 1 species